rnacentral:lncRNA from 1 species
AGGCUAGCUAUCCAAACCACUUCUACAUCUGAUAUACAUAUAUAUAAUAUUACACAGAGCUUCAUUAGUUAACUAAUUACUUAUACCAAACUAAGUUGGUAUAUGUUAAUUAGCGGCGAAUCUUGGGGUACUCUCUUAUCUCUAUCCCCCCAAAUAGCAGGGCUGCGUCCUUGCUAUUAAGAACAGCCUGAUCAUUCCUAAGAGGAGUUGGGUGUCUCCCUGCACGAGCUGGUUGGUCUUGAGAAAAUGGAGGCCUCUUGCCGGGCCGGUCAUAGAACUUGUCUAGCAUGGCAAAAGCCUCCCCUCCAAGCUUUGCUAGCUCUUCCUGAGUUGCCAUAAUAGUAAUAUUGCUACAAUUUAGUACAAGCACACAAACAAACAGAUGCACAAAGCAGGUCAGGUAAUUUGGUUUGCCUUUGUUUUCUUGGUAAAAUGGUUCGCGGCCAAGCCCCAUUAUAUAGGAGUUAAAAAGCCACCUUAUUGUGAGACCUUGUGGAUAAGUUGGUUGGAUAACAUAGAUAUCCAUUCUUUCCAAAAGGGAUUCCCACUUUUGGUGAUUCCUUCAGAGACACUUUUGAAUCUUUGAGUUGGGGGCUUUGCUUACGUUAGAAAUAUGUAUUAGUAAUGUUGCAAAUUACUGAAGUGCCUUAAAAAGUAUUAUGAUCAAUAACACUAUUGAACGUAUGUAUGGAAGAUUGUUUGGUGCUAAGAAUUUCGUGGCAGGUUGACCCAUGGAUAUGGUUGGUACAAAACACAUUAAUGAAAAAUAGGAAUAAGCACAAAUUGUGGGAGGUGAAGAUAUUUAUUCCUCCAGAGAUUGACAGGAAUCAAUAUCAUAGUUUAUUUUGUUUUUUUUUUCAUUGCUUGAGAGCUACAUAUGAUGAAUUCUUCAAAUAAAAUUAUUUGUGGGGUAUUUUUGUAAAGAUCACUUUGUAUUAUAUUUGAACAAUUUACAAUUAAAACUGUCUAUUUCAUAGAUUAUCUCUUUAAAAAAUCACAUAAAUUGAGAGUUGGAUGUGACAAAUUAAUCUCUAAAUAAACUUAUUUGAGGGGGGUAUUUUUGUGGGGCUCAAUUUGUAUUGUAUUUCAACAAUUUGAACCCUCUAUGUCAUAGAUGAUAUCUCUUUAAAAAAGCACCCCAAUUGAAUUUAUUUUUUAACCAUUCUAACCAUGCUCCUUUAUCCAACUCCUAAAACAGGAAGACUUCUAGGAGCUCUUAAAUUUGAGGAGAGAGAAAGGACUCCUAGUGGGUCCCUAUAAUUAAAUACUAGUUUACUUUAAUGCUAAUUAUUUUUUAGUAUAUCCUACAUCUGAUAUACAAAUAUUGGAAUCAUUAGAGGAGAUCUUCCUUGUAAUUUUAUUUCUUGAUUUGAAAAAUAAAGUAUUAGUGUGGCGUGCAUAUGCUUACGAUGGCAAGUUUAUGUAGCCAAAUUAUUUAAUCCUGCAGUUUCUUGAAAUUAGAGACAACAAUUUUGCUCUAACCCUCCAGCUAAAUGACACUUCCAAAACAUGUACUAAGUUCUAGGAAAUGCAAACACAAUUUCACAUUAACAAACUUAAAAUUGUGUAUGUUGUUCUUGUAGAUAUGAAGAAUCUUGGCUAUAAAAGAUAAGACUUUUGCAUCCAUUGCACAUUUGGAAUUGGUGAGACUUACCAUUGUCCGUUUCUAUAAAGUUUAUGUAAAAAUAUUGGAAUCCUUAGAGGAGAUCUUCCUUGUAAUUUUAUUUCUUGAUUUGAAAAAAAAAAGAAAGUAUAUUAGUGUGGCGUGCAUAUGCUUAUGAUGGAAAGUUUAUGUAACAAAAUUAUUCUGGCCUAUCUCAGGGUAGGCAAGGCCUGUGCUUGAUAUCUUCUUGGUAGGAAAUGAUAUUCUUGAUCAUACAUACAUAUAUAUAGGGAGUUUUAAUUGAGGGAUUUCUCAAAUUUGAGGGAUAUCUUUGUGGAGCCCACUGCAGUAUUGCAUUUUACUAAUUCAAACCGCCUAUUUUGUAGAUACUCAUUCAAAGAUCAUCUCUACAAAAAAUCACUUGACACUACUAAAAAAAACCCCUUGCGCGACCAAAUUUUGCGCGACGAAAAACUAUUCGUCGCUCAAAGUCACUUUGCGCGACGAAACUUGAAACUUCGUCACUCAAAGUCUUGCGCGACGAAAAAUAAUUCGUCGCGCAAAGUCCCUUCGCGCGACAAACUUUUGCGCGACGACAAUACAUCGUCGCUCAAAGUCUUGCGCGACCAAUUUUGCGCGACGAAAAAUAAUUCGUCGCUCAAAGUGACUUUGCGCGACGAAAAGUAAACUUCGUCGCGCAAAGUCCUUAUAAAAAUAAAUAAAAAUAAAAAAUUAUUUUUUAAAAUCUUUGCAUGACGUAAUCCAAACAUUUUGUCACUUAACCAAUUUAUUUUUGUUUUUUAUUUUGUAUGCAUAAUACUUAAGAAAUUAAACGGUAUAUAUAUUUAUUAAGUAGCUUUAAAUUUAUUAUUUUAGAUCGGAUUGGAUUUUUGUUAGAAAAAUAUAUUAUUAUUGUUCGGAUUUGGUUUUUGUUAGAAAAUAUAUAUUUUAAAUUGACGAUCGAAUUAGUUCAUUGUAUUCAUAUAGGGUCAAGGAGUGUAGCUUUAAAAAAUUAUCAAAAUCGGAGUUAAAAUAACCAUUAAAUCGUGAUUUUUCAUUAUAACCGUCGAAGAGUUUUGUCCCAUUACUUGAUCUCUGAAUGUUUAUUUUUUCCGAUUUUUAGCGUAUAUGAUCUCGAAGUAUAAACAAACAAGUUUGACGGUUGGAUCGUUGAAACUAGUUUUUUUUAAUGCAUAUGCCAUCAAAACAAUAUAUUCACUAACAAUUAAGAGUUUAUUUAUACUUUCGUUAAAUAUAACAUAAGAUUUUGUGGUAUCCACUAGUGUAAAUAUUUUAAAUUGAAGAUCAAAUUCAGUCAUUGUAUUCAUAUAGGGUCAAGGAGUGUAGCUGUAAAAAAUCAUCAAAAUCGGAGUUAAAAUAACCGUUAAAUCAUGAUUUUUCAUUUAUAACCGUCGAAAAAUUUUGUCCCGUUACUUGAUCUAUGAAUGCUUAUUUUUUCCGAUUUUUGGCGUACAUGAUCUCGAAGUAUAAACAAACAAGUUUGACGGUUGGAUUGUUAAAAUUAGUUUCGUAGAAUGUGUAUGCCAUCAAAACAAUAUAUUCACUAACAAUUAAGAGUUUAUUUAUAUUUUCGUUAAAUAUAACAUAAGAUUUUGUGGAGUGUAAAUAUUUUAAAUUGAAGAUCAAAUUCAGUCAUUGUAUUCAUAUAGGGUCAAGGAGUGUAGCUGUAAAAAAUCAUCAAAAUCGGAGUUAAAAUAACUGUUAAAUCAUGAUUUUUCAUUUAUAACCGUUGAAAAGUUUUGUCCCUUUACUUGAUCUCUAAAUGUUUAUUUUUUCCGAUUUUUGGCGUAUAUGAUCUCGAAGUAUAAACAAACAAGUUUGACGGUUGGAUCGUUGAAACUAGUUUCGUAGAAUGUGUAUGCCAUCAAAACAAUAUAUUCACUAACAAUUAAGAGUUUAUUUAUACUUUCGUUAAAUAUAACAUAAGAUUUUGUGGUAUUCACUAGUGUAAAUAUUUUAAAUUGAAGAUCAAAUUUAGUCAUUGUAUUCAUAUAGGGUCAAGGAGUGUAGCUGUAAAAAAUCAUCAAAGUCGGAGUUAAAAUAACAAAUAAAUCAUGAUUUUUUAUUUAUAACCGUCGAAAUGUUUUGUCCAUUACUUGAUCUAUGAAUGUUUAUUUUUUCCGCUUUUUGGCGUAUAUGAUCUCGAAGUAUAAAAAAACAAGUUUGACGGUUGGAUCGUUGAAACUAGUUUCGUAGAAUGCAUAUGCCAUCAAAAUAAUAUAUUCACUAACAAUUAAGAGUUUAUUUAUACUUUCGUUAAAUAUAACAUAAGAUUUUGUGGUAUCCACUAGUGCAAAUGUUUUAAAUUGAAGAUCAAAUUCAGUCAUUGUAUUCAUAUAGGGUCAAGGAGUGUACCUGUAAAAAAAUCAUCAAAAUCGGAGUUAAAAUAACCGUUAAAUCGUGAUUUUUCAUUUAUAACUAUCGAAAAGUUUUGUCCCGUUACUAGAUCUCUGAAUAUUUAUUUUUUACGAUUUUUGGGGUAUACGAUCUUGAAGUAUAUACAAACAAGUCUUACGGUUGGAUCGUUGAAUGGUGUGUGUGUAUAUAUAUAUAUUUAUUAAGUAGUUUUAAAUUUAUUUAUUUUGUACGUAUAACACUUAAGAAAUUGAAUAGUAUAUACAUAUAUACAUUUAUUAAGUAGCUUUCACCUUAAUUAUAUUUUAAAUCAUAAAAUAAUUUUUUUUUUAUUUUUUCUUAUUCAAAACAAUUAUUUUUAUAAAUAUUCUGCUACGAACCAAUUUUUCGUCUCUCAAAAGUUUGCGCGACCAACAGUUCGUCGUGCAAAACUCAAAAAAUUUGUGCAAGUAACAAAAAUGGGACGCGGGUUUUUAAAAUUAAAAAAAAAACUUUAGACUUUGCGCGACCAAUAUAUAUUUUUCGUCGCGCAAAAAUUUGGGCGGGUACCAAAAAUGGGACGCGGGACUUUUUUUAUAUAAUUGUUUUAGACUUUGCGCGACCAAUAUGUACUUUUCGUCGCGCAAAAAUUUAAAAAUUUUGGCAGGUACCAAAAAUGGGAUGCGGGAAUUUUUUAAAAAAAAAAAUAAUUUUUUUUAGACUUUGCGCGACCAAUAUGUAUUUUUCGUCGCGCAAAGUUAAAUUUUGGCGGGAACCAAAAAUGGGAUGCGGGAAAUUUUUUUUUAAAAAAAUAAUUUUUUUAGACUUUGCGCGACCAAUAUUCCUAUAUUCGUCGCCCAAAACUUUGCGAGACCAAUAUGUUUCGUCGCGCAAAACUUUGCGCGACCAACAAUAUUUUUCGUCGCGCAAAGUGAUAUGAUUUUUAAAACCAAAAUAACUCCUCCACCAUUUUCUCAAUGUCUUUCUCUACUCUUACCUCUCCUCUCUCUUUCCCUCUCCCCAAAUUCCACCUUUUCUCUCACACUCACUCCUCUCACUUAAUCUCUCAUAUCUCUCUUCACUUUCUCUCACUCUCACUCACUCUCUCAUCUAUCUUUUCACUAUCUCUCACUCUCUCAUCUCUCUAUCACUAUCUUAUCUAAUUCUCUCACACUCACUUCUCCCUCUCAUUCUCACUCACUCUCAAUCUUGCCACAAAAGGUAUAUUCUCUCCAAAUUUUAAAUUUUUUUUCAUUAAUAUGUGUUUUUGGAGUUAGUUUUGAGUUUGUGUGGGGUUUGGGGUUGAGUAAAGGGGAGAGAUUGGAGUUUGGGUUGGAUUUGUGGUAUAACAAUUUUAGGGGAGAUUAUGCAUUCUUUUUUUGUUGUUGUUGUUAUUUGACCAUAUUUAUUUUUUUGUAGGUAAUCAUCAAGACUUUGAUGGCUAAAGUUGAGGAUUAGGAAGCUAUCAAAACAUAUCAUCUGUCACUACCACCACAAUACUCUUGUAUUAGGAUUUUAUUAUUGUACUUUGUUAAUUUAUGUGCACAUUUUGAAUAUUAUAUAUAUAUUUAUUGGAUAAUUUGAUCACUAUUUUUCAUAUGUAAUUUUAUUUUGAAUAUGUCAAUUUAAAUUAAAGUAAUUAAGAAAAAUCUUACAAUUAAGUUAAAUUUAAAAAGUAAAAAUUCGAAAAAAUUAAUAUCAACUUAAAUUAAAGUGAUUUAAAAAAAAUCAUACAAUUAAAUUAAAUUUAAAAAGUAAAAAUUUGAAUAAACUAAUAUAAAUAAAUUAAUAUUAAAGAAAUAAUAAAAUAAAAAGUCAAAAACCUUGCGCGACAAAAUAUUUUGUAGAGCAAACUAUUAAAUUAGUUUAUUUUAAUUAAAAAAAUUUAAAACACAAAAAAUAUUUAGUCGCGCAAAUAUUUGCGCGACGUUAGUAUUCAUCACGCAAAACUCUAAAGAUGUAGGCAGGUACCAAAAAUGGGACGCGGAAAUUUUUUAUUUUUUAUAAAUUUUUUUGAGACUUUGCGCGACAAAUAUUUUUCGUCGCGCAAACCUUUGCGCGACCAAUGUGUUUCGUCGCGCAAACCUUUGCGCGACCAAUGUGUUUCGUCGCGCAAAACUUUGCACGACAAAUAUUUUUCGUCGCGCAAACCUUUGCGCGACCAAUGUGUUUCGUCGCGCAAAGUUUUGUGCGACCAAUAUUUUUUCGUCGCGCAAAGUUACUUUGCACGACCAAUAUUUUUUAGUCGCGCAAAGUCACUUUGCGCGACCAAUGAAAAAACUUGGUCGCGCAAAGUCUUUCUUCACGAUCUUUGCGCGACGGAUUCUGCGCGACGAAGUUUCUGUCGCGUUAAAAUUUGUGCGACUACAAUGUAUUUUGCGCGACGAAAUUCUCUUCGUCGCGCAAAGUGUAAAAUGUAGUAGUGUGAAUCUAAUAUUAUUUUACCACUCAAUUAAAAUUAUUGAAAUUACAAUUGGAUAUCGAAACGGUUUUUGAUUUAUCUAAUAUUCGUUGCGCAAAGUGUAAAAUGUAGUAGUGUGAAUCUAAUAUUAUUUUACCACUCAAUUAAAAUUAUUGAAAUUACAAUUGGAUAUCGAAACGGUUUUUGAUUUAUCUAAUAUUUUGCAAAGAUGAUCUAUGAAUGUAGACUUAAAAAAUAGAUGGUUUCAAUCGUUGAAAAAAGAUUCAUAAGAAACCCUAAAAGGUAUCCCUCAAAUAAAAGUAUUUGAAGAAUCCCUCAACAUAUAUAAAGUAUGUGUGAUUUCAAUUUUUCAAUAGAAAAAGAUACCAAUUAAAGUCGGCCAGUGUCCCACAAUCCCCAGCCACAACACAAUCUUGCCUUCAACAAUGCCUAGAUCCUUAGUUGCGAUAAGAUAUUUGAAGAAGCUUGGGGAAUAAAAUGCCUUAAGAGACUGUUUAGGGGUGGUAGAAAUUCACCUAACUCGGGCAUGAGAAGAAUAACGGCCGGGGUUUGGAGGCCGGGAUUGGAGAAGUUAGCGACCGGAAAUGUCGGGGUUCCUGUGGCCGAAAUGUUGGAGAAUUUGGGAGAUCUCAGCCGGGUCUUGAAGGAGUCUCGUGGCGGCCGAGAUUUGGAGCAGCCAGUGUCUUGGGCCGAAUAUGUGGCUGGAGUACUUGGAGGGCUACGGGGCAGGCCUGAGCCCGAGUUUUUCUAAUUGAGGCCGGGUCUUCGGCUUUGAGCAGACAAGGCUUCGGAAAAUGCGGCUGGGGUAUUUGGUCUCUUUACAAGCUGGGCUGAAAGGGUUUUGGUUUGGAGUAGACAAAGCUUUGGAGAAUGGCGGUUGGAGCUUUGUGGAUUUGUUAACAGCUGAAGGGUUUUCUAGGUUGGAAGUUUAAUUGUCUUAUUCGAUAUAUACAUACAUAUUUUCAAAUAAGUGGGGCUGGAACUUCAAGAUAAUUGCGCCCGAGGCUUUAUUGAACCUCCUUUGUCUAAUUUUAUAUAUACGUAAUAUUUUUAUAUAAAUGCAAUUGCCUUGGAUUAUUGCAAGUGCGGCUGGAGGUUCCCAAGCUUAAGCCCUCCAUAUCCUGUUGUAUGAUAAUAUAUAUAUAUAUAUAUAUGUGUGUGUGUGUGUAAGUAUAUAUAAACAAAUGAACCUGCAUGUGCGGCUAGGUACUCAAGCUGAGGCAUUCCUCAUCCUAUUAUAUAUAUUAUAUGACUGACAACAUAAGAAAAAUCAGAGGCUCAAGUUCAAGACACCAACCCGAGCUCAGGAUUUUCCGAGGAUUACAUGCACGUGACGGAGGCUUUGCAAGGGAAGAAAUCAAGGAGGUUGAUAAUAAUUUCAAAUGUUCCAAAGCAAUAAGAAAUAAUCAAGCAUGUCAGACUAUCUCCUUCAAUGCAAUCCCACGAAUUUAGGGGGGCCUCAGAAGGAAGGAAAUUUUAAAAGAGUUGACCUUUGGCCAUUCAAUGGCCAGCCCAUGGGCUGACGAAUGCCCUAUAUAAACCUUGCUCAACAAAGGCAGAAGACAUAACAUCAGACAAACAAACUUAUCUUUUGUCUCGCACUUUUCUUUUCCUAGACUUAGAAUUUUACUUUUCAAGCACCUAGUGUAGUGAGUUCUUCCUUUUUUUAGUGUAAGUUUAUAUUUUUCUUGUCAUUUAAAUUCUUGUUUGAUUUAUAUUUCUUGUCAUUUAAAUUCAAGUUUAUUUUCAUUCCUUUAUAUUUCAUUGUUAUCGCACUUCAAUUAAGUUUAAUUUCAAGUUUGUUUAUUUUAUCGUUCUUAGCGUUCUUAUCGCUUUUAUUUCGUUCUUACUUUAUUUAGCGUUUUGAUUUAUUUUAUCGCACUUCAAUUCUUGUCUUUACGUUUAUACACGUAUUUAGUUUAAUUGCAUUAUUUUUACAUAAAACUCUAAAAAUCACAAAAACAUCCGUAUGAAACCUAACCAUCCUCGAGCCAGAGGAAGUGAAAGAAUCUAGGCCAAGAGGAGGUUCCUUGCUUGGCCGAUCAAUCGUUUGGUCAGAAGUUAGUGCUAAAAUAUGAAAACUAUGAGAGAAUAUUUGUUUGUGGGAAUUUUCUGUGUAUUCUUCUCCUUGUAGGAGGUCAUAUUUAUAAUACAACGAAACCUGAAUGGGCAAGUAAAUAAUAAAUUCCUAAAUCUAUUUGCAGUAGGAAAUCAGGAAUUAAAGUAAAUCAAUUACAAUUAUAAUAGGAAUUCUUAGUGUGUAAGGAAAGUAAGUCAAUAUCCACAAGUCACGCCAACACUCCCCCUCACGUUGGUGCAUAGAUGUCGCCAAUGCCCAACUGAUCUAGUGAAUUGUGGAAUGCUUUACUGGAAAUCGCCUUUGUCAAAAUAUCCGCCAAUUGAUCCUCGGAUUUCACAAAAGGAAACUGAAACACUUUAGCCUCAAGCUUUUGUUUGAUGAAGUGUCGAUCCACCUCAACAUGUUUAGUACGAUCAUGCUGAACCGGAUUCUGUGCAAUGGCUAUAGCAGCCUUGUUAUCACAAAAGAGAUUCAUUGUGGAUGUAGGUUUAUACCCAAGUUCAGUAAGCAACUUUCUUAACCAAAGAAGUUCACAAAUCCCUUUAGUCAUGCCUCUGAACUCGGCUUCUGCACUGGAUAAAGCUACUACAUUCUGUUUCUUGCUUCUCCAUGUCACCAAAUUACCUCCCACGAAUGUGAAGUAACCCGAUGUGGAUUUUCUAUCUGUUACAUUACCUGCCCAAUCUGCAUCUGAAUAACCAUCAAUAUUUAGAUGACCAUGCUUUGAGAACAUAAGUCCUUUUCCAGGUGCAGACUUCAAAUAUCUAAGUAUCCGAAGAACUGCAUUCAUAUGGUCUUCACUUGGAGAGUGCAUAAAUUGACUGACAACGCUCACCGCAUAAGCAAUGUCUGGUCGAGUAUGUGACAAAUAGAUCAAUCUUCCCACUAACCUUUGGUAUCUUUCUUUGUUAGUUGGAACUUGAUCCGGAUAUUCUCCAAGAUGAUGAUUCUGAAUAAUAGGAGUGUCCGCAGGUUUACAAUCUAGCAUUCCUAUGUCUGUCAACAAGUCUAAGACAUAUUUCCUUUGAGAGAGAAAUAUGCCUUGCUGCGAUCGAGCCACCUCAAUUCCCAAGAAAUACUUGAGUCCACCUAGAUCCUUCAUCUCAAACUCCGUAGCCAGAUAGUCUUGUAGCUGUGAUAUUUCCUGUUUAUCAUUCCCAGUAAUAAUCAUAUCAUCAACAUAAAUUAUUAAUGCUGUUACCUUCCCUUUUCGAUGUUUCAAGAACAAAGUAUGAUCUGAGUUGCACUGUUUGAAACCAUUAUUCUUCAUUGCCAUGGUGAACCGUCCAAACCAUGCACGUGGUGACUGUUUCAAUCCAUACAAUGCUUUUCGUAACCUGCAAACUGUUCCAGUCUGAGUAGUAUUAUAUCCAGGAGGAAUGUCCAUGUACACCUCCUCCGUGAGUUCGCCAUGUAGAAAAGCAUUCUUUACAUCAAACUGGUGUAGUGGCCAAUCUAAAUUAGCUGCAAGGGACAAUAAGACUCUGACGGUGUUUAACUUUGCAACGGGAGCAAAGGUUUCUUCAUAGUCUAUACCAUAGGUCUGUGUGUACCCUUUUGCCACAAGUCUUGCCUUGUAUCGCUCGAUAGAUCCAUCUGCAUUGUGUUUUAUAGUAAACACCCAUCUACAUCCGAUAGUCUUUUUUUCUCGGGGUAUAAUCUCCAAUGUCCAAGUUUGAUUUUUCUCAAGGGCUUUCAUCUCCUCUUUUAUAGCUUGGACCCACUUAGGAUCUUUCAAUGCUUCAGAGACCUUGGUUGGAAUAUGGAUAGCAGACAACUGAUGCACAAAAGCCUUAAGUGGUUCAGACAGCUUCUCAGUGGAUACAUGAUUUGCAAUUGGAUACUUGGAUGUCUUGCCAAUAUCAGGUGAAUAACGGUUUGGUGGCUUCCCACGAUUUUGCCUGAAAGGUAAUUGAUAUCCAAUAGUUUUAUCAUCUAAAUGCACAAGUCUAGUAGGAGUAGUUACCUCAAGGAUAUUCUCAAGAGAUUGGUCUGUUGGUACUGUUGAGUUAGAGGGGGGGCUUCAUCUUGUUGUUCUGUAUUGUCUGUAAGUGUGAGACUCGGAUCAGAAAUAUCUUCGCGUGGAUCAGGUGGGUCAGGCAAUUGAUCGCUAUAAAUGGGCGAUUGGUCGCUUUUCGACAGAGAGUAAUCUCGUGCUCCAGACUCGGAAUGAUCAAUCAUUUCUGUACAAAGGAGAAUUUCUUGAUUUUCCAAGUUGCUCCAAUUCUGCUCUUCACGUCGUAUCUCCCCUUGAAGUGUAGAAUUGGAUGAUGGGUCAUGGAAGAACAGCUCAGAUUCCAGAAAGGUCACAUCCAAAGUGACAUAGGUUCGUUGGGUAGGAGGGUGAUAACAACGGUAGCCUUUCUGAUGAGUGGCAUAACCCACAAAAACACAACGAAGCGCACAUGGAUCAAGUUUGCUACGUUGAUUUUUGUGGAGAUGAACGAAAGCCACACAUCCAAAGAUUCGGGGUGUGAGUACCAAAACAGAAGGCAGAGGUCUGUGUUGUGCAAGCACCUGUAAGGGAGUUUUAAAGGUCAGUACACUAGAAGGCAUGCGGUUGAUCAGAUGAACUGCGGUGACAAUAGCAUCAUCCCAGUGAUGGCGAGGAACAUGAGCGCCAAUCAGAAGUGCUCGGGCGGUUUCAAGAAGAUGUCGAUUCUUUCGUUCAGCAACACCAUUUUGUUGUGGUGUCUGAGGACAAGUCGUCUCAUGGAUAAUUCCAUGUUGUUGGAAGUAAGUUUGAAAGUCAUGAUUGACAAAUUCUCCACCAUUGUCGGAGUGAAGAAUCUGGAUUUGAGCAUUAAACUGAGUUUUCAUCUGUUUGUGGAAGGACUGAAAACAGGAAAACACUUCGUUUUUAUUCUUCAGCAAAUAAAGCCAUGUCAUCCGUGUACAAUCAUCGAUGAAUGUGACAAACCAUCGAACACCAGAAGGAGCAGUGAUAGGAGAAGGUCCCCAGACAUCAGAGUGAAUUAACGUAAAUGGAGUAGUACACUUGUUCGUACUCAACGGGUAGGGCACACGGUGACUCUUGGCCAAAAUACAAGUAUCACAUGUGAAGUCAGAGUCCUUGAAACCUGAGAAUAAAUCUGGUAUAAGAUGCUUCAUAUAACUAAAAGAAGGAUGUCCCAAUCGACGAUGCCACAACCAGAUUUGCUUUUGUUUGCUAUCAAAGGGAUGUGUCACGCUGUUAGCCAUGCCGGGACUGAAGUCAUCGACAUAAUAUAGCCCCCCUCUCUUAGUACCACGACCAAGAAUCUCCUUAGUGUGAAUAUCCUGAAGCAAACAAAAACUCGGGUAAAUGAGUACACAACAAUUCAAUUGUUCAGUAAGCUGACUAACUGACAAUAAUUUAGUGGAUAAAGAUGGAACAAGUAAAGUAUUAGACAGUGUGAGAGAGGAUGAGAGUGCAACAGUGCCAGCCCCUGUCACAGGAUAAGUAACACCAUUGGCAUUUGCAAUACAGGUUCGUCGAGGUUGUGUAGUAUUCAGAAAAUCAUCAGGAUCAAACGUCAUAUGAUCAGUUGCACCAGAAUCAAUUAUCCAGCUCCUGGAAUUAAUCUUAUCGGAAGUAUGGAAUCCAUAACCAGUACCAUUACUGGUCAUAUUGCAUUGUCCUUGAUCUAUAAGAGUAGCCCACCAAUUGGGGUAGCCAUGCGAUUUAAAACAAGUCUCACAAGUGUGUCGUGGAUCACCACAAUAUGCGCAAUCUAGUCCACGUGUCGGGGUCGUUAGUCUAGAAGUCAUAAUUUGUGCAGCGGAAGAUGCAUAGGAUACAGGUUGAGUAGGAAUUGGGAUCGGAAUCUGAGCCUGAGUCGGGGCCGGAGUCGGAGUCGAAAUUGGGAUCAGGGUCUGAAUCAGAGACAAAUUCGGGUUUGGGGUCAUCAUCGGAGUGGGGGUCGGGGUCGUCUUCGGAGUCGGGGUCGGGGUCGUCGUCGUCAUAGUCGGGGUCGGGGUCGGGGUCGUCGUCGUCAUAGUCGGGGUCGGGGUCGGGGUCGUCGUCGUCAUAGUCAGUGUCGGGGUCGGGGUCGUCAAAAAAGAAUCCGGAUUCUGGAUCGGGUUCAGGGUCAAAGUCUGCAUCUGUAGGAGCGGAGCCAUCUGGGCACUCAACUCAAUGAUGGUUGGUGGAGAUUGAGAGAAGGAGUCGGUGGUGCUACCUCCAUGAGGGUUGAAAAAAUCAUCAACCCCCAUAGCAGCGGCGGGGGUUUGAAACUAGAGUCAGCAAUUCCAAGAUCGCCGCUCUGAUACCAUGCUAAAAUAUGAAAACUAUGAGAGAAUAUUUGUUUGUGGGAAUUUUCUGUGUACUCUUCUCCUUGUAGGAGGUCAUAUUUAUAAUACAACGAAACCUGAAUGGGCAAGUAAAUAAUAAAUUCCUAAAUCUAUUUGCAGUAGGAAAUCAGGAAUUAAAGUAAAUCAAUUACAAUUAUAAUAGGAAUUCUUAGUGUGUAAGGAAAGUAAGUCAAUAUCCACAAGUCACGCCAACAGUUAGAAGCGCAACACAUCCAUCUAUUCUCAUUCCAUUCAAGCCCAAAUUCAGGGCUUGGUGGUGGCACACACUGCACUCCAAAAAAGAAGGAUAAAAAGUUCAUUCCGUUAGCCGCCCCGACCAAAGAAAGGGAAACAGAGACACUUUUGAAUCUUUGAAGUGCCUUAAAAGGUAUUAUGAAUAGCACUAUUGAAUGUUUGGAAGAUUGUUUGGUGCUUAGAAUUUCGUGGGAGGUUGACCCAUGGAUAUGGUUGGUACAAAACACAUUAAUGAAAAAUAGGGAUAAGCACAAAUUGUGAGAGGUGAAGAUAUUAUCUUCCUUAAGAGAUUGAAAGGAAUCAAUAUCAUACUUUAUCUGGUUUCCUUUUUCUUUGCUUGAGAACUGCAUAUGAUAAAUCUUUCAAAUAAACUUAUUUGAGGGGUAUUUUUGUAGAGCUCACUGUGUAUUGUAUUUGAACAAUUCAAACUGUCUAUUUAAUAGAUUAGAGUGCUACUAAACGAACCCUAAUAUUAACUGAAUACACCAUACUACUAAACUAUUUAUUAAAUUACUAAUUUACCCUAAUAUAAACUAAAAACAAAUAUAUUGAAUUGUGAAACAAAUGUAAUUUUAAUAAGUGCACCUUACUAACGCGGAUCCUCUUGUUGUUUUUUCUCAAUUUGUUUGACUUUUCUUUUAAGCAUCCCACAUCAUUUAAAAAAAUAUCUAAAACAUGACACCCAUAUUUUUGCCUACAAUCUUCUUCUCCAUCUUAGCAUUUGGACAACCGAACUCUUUUCUCUCUCAAAACCAAGCUCAGCAGAACCUCUUCUCCUUUCAAUCAGUCUUCUUCUCCAAACAUAUAAUUUUUUCAUUUUCCUCAUCUUUCAAUUCACGAAAUUUCCUAUAAUAUUUGAAGCCCCUUGUAAAACUUGUUUUCUCCUAUUUACCCCCACAAAAGUAGCCACACGAAUCAUAUUGGGACUUAAUUAUAUCAGCAAGCAAGGCAAUCAAAGUUGUUUUUUGGUUUCAGAUAUUGGAUUCAAAAAACAAAAAAUUAUUUUUUAAAAAUCAGAAAGAGAAAAAUUAAAAAAACAGACUGCAUGAAAUAUUGUGUUUCUUGAGAAAAAAAUUAAAAACCCCCGAAGCUGCAAAAUUGAGUGUUUUAAUAAGAAUGAUUCCCUUACUGAGUAUUACUUAUUAUUUGAUUUAGGAUCAAUAUCAAAGAAUUCUAUUGAACGUUUUUGUGUUAUUAGUUAUAUUUAGGAUAUAUAAAAAAGAACAAUAUUGUCCAGAGUGUACAGUUAAAAACUUUGAGAAUCAAAGUAUGGGGAAAGGGAUCGUGGGGAGAUGAAUGUUGUUGGUCUUUUUUUGAAGAGGUAGUGUAUUAGGGUGUAUCAAGGGUAUUUUUGGUAGUUAAAUAGGGUGUACUUUGUUAAUUUUACAUUUUAAUUAGGGCGUACUCAGUUAAUUUUAGGGUUCAUUUAGCAGCACUCAUAGAUUAUCUCUUUAAAAAAUCACACAAAUUGACGGGUAUUUUUGUAGAGCUCAAUUUGUAUUGUAUUUCAACAAUUUGAAUUGUCUAUGUCAUAGAUUAUAUCGCUUUAAAAAAGCACCCGAAUUGAACUUUUUUAACCAUUUGAUUGAAUAGUAGUCAUUUAUUAAGUGUGUGUCUAUUUGUCUCAUCACAUUUAUAUAUGUUUGAAUGGUUUACAAUUUGUUCAAAUAAAUGAAAUGCAAAGUGGAUGAACCCUAGAAAGUGUCGUAUUUGAAAAAUAUAUAAAUAAAAUGAUAACCUUACACAUAUUUGUUUAUUUUAUAUAAACAUCACCACAAACAUAGAAUAAACAGUUGCAAAACAACAGAAAACUUCUAAUAGUCAAAAAACAUCCUUUAGCUUACAUGAUAGAAACAGAACAACUGCCUUUUCCCACAACACUUCUAUUCAACUGAGCAUCUUAUAUCUUCUUCAGUUGCAUUAUUUGCAAAAUUUGUUCCUCUGUUUGCAAAUAUGAAGCAUUUUUCAAACAUCUAGCAUAUUGCUGAAACAUCUAUCACUAGAUCACAUCUUACAAAAGUUAUUCUUCUGUAUUUGUUGUCGCUACUUUUCUUCUAAUUAAUAGUCUAAUCAAUCUAAUAGAGUUUGUUGUUGCAAUUCCAAAAGAGCUCAAGCCAGACAAACACACAUACACCUGCGUCAAAAUUCACUUUGACCAUUGACGCGUUGAGUUAGAAACUUUCCUUCUUCUUGGUUCAAAUUUAGGGAAGGAAGAUAAUAAGGAAAGCUCAACAAUUGUACCUAUAAGUUCCUCUUAACUUUUGACUAUUUUGGGAUUUUUUUUUUAUUGUUAUAGCAACAAAAAAAAAAAAAUUUAUUUUGAUAAUUUUAAUUUUUUGAAGGGAAAAAUUCUUUUGAUAUUUAAACCUUAAUCAUAGCGUAAAACCUACAUCUUCUUUUAUAUCACAUCACCAUCUUUUAAGUUAAACUUUAUGUGUCGUAUUGAUCACAUUUGCUAACUCAUCGAUAAAGAUAAUUCUCUCACUUUAUUAAGAAAUAUGACCCACGAAUAAGGAUGAGUAAUUGCCAAGUCAGUUUAGUGCAUCUGAUACCAGUGCUGAUCUUUUCGCUUUCUACUUCAACUCUAUAUUUCUUCUUUGUUAUUUUCUUACAUGAAUAAAAUUCUUUGAUAUUGCAAGGAAAGUUGUUUUCUUCUCCUCUUUUCUUCUAUUUUUUUUUAAUAAUAAUAAAUUUCCUUGAAAAGUGAUUACAUAACAAACAAGAGAGAGUAUGCAAGAGAGGAGGGGCUAGCUUUAAAUAUAUUUUAUAUAACAUAAGAAGUGAUUUGUACAUAUAAUUACAAGCGGACACAUAUACAUAUAGGCGCAGAAAAUAAGCUAGCUUAGACUGUAGGCUAGCUAUCCAAACCACUUCUACAUCUGAUAUACAUACAUAUUCUAUAUUACAGAGAGCUUCAUUAGUUAACUAAUUACUUAUACCAAACUAAGUUGGUAAUAAUUAGCGGCGAACCUUGGGGUACUCUCUUAUCUCUAUGCCCCCAAAUAGCAGGGCUGCGUCCUUGCUAUUAAGAACAGCCUGAUCAUUCCUAAGAGGAGCUGGUUGUCUCCCGGAACGAGCUUGUUGGUCUUGAGAAAAUGGAGACCUCUUGCUGGGCUGGCCACAGAACUUGUCUAGCAUGGCAAAAGCCUCCAUUCCAAGCCUUGCUAGCUCUUCUUGAGUUGCCAUAAUAAUAUUGCUAAAAUUUAGUACAAGCACACAAAACACAGAUGCACGAAGCAGGUCAGGUAAUUUGGUUUGCCUUUGUUUUCUUGGUAACAACGGUUUGCGGCCACGCCCCAUUAUGUAGGAGUUAAAAAGGCGAAUAUGGAAGAUUUUUUGUUGCUAAGAAUUUCGUGCAGGUUGACAGACGGAUAUGGUUGG